rnacentral:rRNA from 1 species
GAUUCGCCCGCCGCGCCCCGCGCCCGUCCCGCCGCCCCCGCCCGCUCCUACGGGAGGCAGCAGUGGGGAAUAUUGCACAAUGGGCGAAAGCCUGAUGCAGCAACGCCGCGUGAGCGAUGAAGGCCUUCGGGUCGUAAAGCUCUGUCCUCAAGGAAGAUAAUGACGGUACUUGAGGAGGAAGCCCCGGCUAACUACGUGCCAGCAGCCGCGGUAAUACA